CAGUAGCCGCGGUAAUACGUAGGUCCCGAGCGUUGUCCGGAUUUAUUGGACGUAAAGGGAGCGCAGGCGGUUUAGUAAGUCUGAAGUUAAAGGCAUUGGCUCAACCAAUGUAUGCUUUGGAAACUGUUAGACUUGAGUGCAGAAGGGGAGAGUGGAAUUCCAUGUGUAGCGGUGAAAUGCGUAGAUAUAUGGAGGAACACCGGUGGCGAAAGCGGCUCUCUGGUCUGUCACUGACGCUGAGGCUCGAAAGCGUGGGUAGCGAACAGGAUUAGAUACCCCCGUAGUCCCUGUCUCUUAUACA
rnacentral:rRNA from 1 species